rnacentral:rRNA from 1 species
GACGGGGGGAGCAAGCGUUGUUCGGAUUUACUGGGCGUAAAGGGCGUCUAGGCGGGUUCGUAAGUCAUGUGUGAAACCCCCCGGCUCAACCGGGGAUCUGCACGUGAUACUGCGGAUCUUGAGUAUGGAAGAGGAAAGCGGAAUUCCAGGUGUAGCGGUGAAAUGCGUAGAUAUCUGGAAGAACACCGGUGGCGAAGGCGGCUUUCUGGUCCAUUACUGACGCUGAAGCGCGAAAGUGUGGGGAGCAAACAGG